rnacentral:rRNA from 1 species
UGAAGCUGGAAUCGCUAGUAAUCGUAGAUCAGCAUGCUACGGUGAAUACGUUCCCGGGUCUUGUACACACCGCCCGUCACACCACGAGAGUUUGUAACACCCGAAGCCGGUGGAGUAACCAUUUAUGAAGCUAGCCGUCGAAGGUGGGACAAAUGAUUGGGGUGAAGUCGUAACAAGGUAGCCGUAUCGGAAGGUGCGGCUGGAUCACCUCCUUUCUAAGGA